rnacentral:rRNA from 1 species
CAGCAGCCGCGGUAAAACAGAGGAUGCAAGCGUUAUCCGGAAUGAUUGGGCGUAAAGCGUCUGUAGGUGGCUUUUCAAGUCCGCCGUCAAAUCCCAGGGCUCAACCCUGGACAGGCGGUGGAAACUACCAAGCUGGAGUACGGUAGGGGCAGAGGGAAUUUCCAGUGGAGCGGUGAAAUGCGUUGAGAUCGAAAAGAACACCAACAGCGAAAGCACUCUGCUGGGACGACACUGACACUAAGAGACGAAAGCUAGGGGAGCAAAUGGGAUUAGAUACCCCGGUAGUCCCUGUCUCUUAUAU